UGUUUUGGUUAUGUUAGUAAUGGCAACUACAUGCUUUAACUACUGUACUGAAAUGGCAAUGGCUACUCAAGAACCGAAUCGAACCGCAUCGAACCGAACCGAAGCGGGAUCCUGUGCAGCAGAAAUCAAUGAGCUCCAAGAUGGUAUUCCGUCUUCUCAAUCAAAACGAAUACCAGUAGCAAUACGAGUACGUUAUUCGGCGAAAUGUAAAAUGUACACACAUCUGUCGACGGGAUCGACAAUUUGUUUGUUUGUUUGGAAAAGAACAACUCAAAAACAAUGUAGAACUAGCAACGUUUCUUAAUAGUUUUCAAACGCAAAAUGAACUGGGGCCUAGGGCCAAAAGAUAUGUGGUAUUCUGUCUUGUAAAAAGAAAAAA